AAGAAAACAGCUACGGUCGCUGCGAUAAACAACCCUCCGUAGUUGUGGGGUGUCGCUUCAGACGUUGAAGAUUCCGGAGUGGACAGGGGUUCCCUGGGCUAACCAGGUUAUGUCCCAAAGGUGUGACUUCUGGCUGCCCAAAUCUUGUCCAUUCCUGUUUUGAUGUAUCUUUUCACUUGGGUGGAUAUCUGCACAUGGAGACCUUGAUACCUCUAUACAAUCUGAGUCUCACAGAGAGAAUUUUGAAUCUCUCUUAGACCUGCUUCAAAAGGCUUAUGUGAAGAUUACAAACCUUUG